GACGAACGCUGGCGGCGUGCCUAAUACAUGCAAGUAGAACGCACAGUUUAUACCGUAGCUUGCUACACCAUAGACUGUGAGUUGCGAACGGGUGAGUAACGCGUAGGUAACCUGCCUGGUAGCGGGGGAUAACUAUUGGAAACGAUAGCUAAUACCGCAUAAUAUUGAUUAUUGCAUGAUAAUUAAUUGAAAGGUGCAAUUGCACCACUACCAGAUGGACCUGCGUUGUAUUAGCUAGUAGGUGAGGUAACGGCUCACCUAGGCGACGAUACAUAGCCGACCUGGGAGGGUGGUCGGCCACACUGGGACUGGGACACGGCCCAGACUCCUACGGGAGGCAGCAGUAGGGAAUCUUCGGAAAUGGACGAAAGUCUGACCGAGCAACGCCGCGGGAGUGAAGAAGGGUUUCGGGUCGUAAAGCUCUGUUGUAAGAGAAGAACGGGUGUGAGAGUGGAAAGUUCACACUGUGACGGUAUCUUACCAGAAAGGGACGGCUAACUACGUG
rnacentral:rRNA from 1 species